rnacentral:rRNA from 1 species
ACCUGCCUCGGAGUGGGGGAGUAACCAAUGGGAAACUGUGGCUAAUACCGCAUGGUCCUAUUGAUGUGGGAACAUCGAUAGGUAAAGCUUUAGUGCUUCGAGAGGGGCCUGCGUCCGAUUAGGUAGUUGGUGAGGUAAUGGCUCACCAAGCCGAUGAUCGGUAGCUGGUCUGAGAGGACGAUCAGCCACACGGGAACUGAGAGACGGUCCCG